CAGUCGCGUUGGCUAGAAAUCAACAUUGCUCUUGCCUUGUGUAUUUUCUGGUUGACGGGUCAGCAUCAAUUUUGACCAUUGGAUAAAGGCAUUGGGAAUGUGGCAUCUCAGGAUGUGUUAUAGCCCAUUGUUGCAUACGGUGAUUGGGAUUGAGGAACUCAGCACGCCGCAAGGCCGGGUUUCGACCCACGUUCGUGCUUAGGAUGCUGGCAUAAUGGCUUUAAGUCGAACCCGUUCUUGAAACACGGACCAAGGAGUCUAACAUAUGUG
rnacentral:rRNA from 1 species